rnacentral:ribozyme from 1 species
UGCCCAGCAACUUCUAUCCCUACCUCCUCGUGAUACCGGCUGAAAACUGCGAGCAACCUAAGGGAAGA